GUGAAUCAUCAAAUUUUUGAACGCAAAUUGCGCUUCCUGGCAUCCCGGGAAGUAUGCCUGUUUGAGGGUCAGUAUUAAUAAAAAAUCUGUUUAGUCACAAAUUGUGACGUUUCCGGAGUUUGUGCUAUCUUAACAUUUCUGGUUAAUUGGUUUAUAAUUGACCUUUUUCGCGCAUUUUUAAACGUACAUAAAUUUUUUUUAUCCGUCUACUCUUGAUGCCAAUAUCUUAUUAGAUGCGACCACAUCGGCUGGCUUCGUUUCCAUAAAAUUUUCAUA
rnacentral:misc_RNA from 1 species